GAUGAACGCUGGCGGCGUGCCUAAUACAUGCAAGUCGAACGCUGGAGAUCUAGCUUGCUAGCUCGAAGGAGUGGCGAACGGGUGAGUAAUACAUAAGCAACCUACCCACGAAGACUGGGAUAAUCUCUGGAAACGGGGACUAAUACCGGAUAGGUAAUCGGAAGGCAUCUUCUGGUUAUUAAAGGUUAAAAACACUGGUGGAUGGGCUUAUGGCGCAUUAGUUAGUUGGUGAGGUAACGGCCCACCAAGACGAUGAUGCGUAGCCGGCCUGAGAGGGUGAACGGCCACAUUGGGACUGAGACACGGCCCAGACUCCUACGGGAGGCAGCAGUAGGGAAGUUUCGGCAAUGGGGGCAACCCUGACCGAGCAACGCCGCGUGAGCGAAGACGGCCUUCGGGUUGUAAAGCUCUGUUGUAAGGGAAGAACGGUAGAUAGAGAAUAUCUAAGUGACGGUACCUUACCAGAAAGCCACGGCUAACUACGUG
rnacentral:rRNA from 1 species